GACCAAUAGAACUCCUGCCAAAAUCAGUUUAACUCCUAUUUUAAGUUCCAAAAGUUAUCCAGGUGUGGGGGAAGCAGAUAAUCACUGAAGGUUGAUCCCAUAUGCAAUAACACUAAAUUAGCCAGAAAGCGCUGUACUAAAUGCAAAUUCACUAAAAUGGCAGUCUCUGUAAACAAAAGGUGGCUGCAUGUUUAGGCAUCAGCAAUCACUAGGAAAGUCAAGACUAAGUACCUGAACUCAAGUAUGCAAUUCUUCUGCUUUGUGUGUGCACGUGUAUAUGUGUUUUAAGGCCAACAGCUUCAAUAACUUGCAAAAAGUCAAUUUGGACUUUUCAAUGGGAUUUGCUUACAAGUAGGUUUUGGGCUUCUUAAAAAGUAGUGGGCAGGGAGAGGUUAAUUAGCAUUACUUAGGUUGCAAUCCUAUGUGCACUUACCUGGAAGUAUUCCAUAGGAUUGCACUGCUAAGACUGUGAACCUGAUAGAUGAUGAAGUUAAGCAAUAAAUAGUCUGUUUUAAGGGUGUCCAGUUGUAAGGGAUAGCAGAAUUAUUGUAACUUCAGCACUUUUGCAAAAAAGAAGACAGUAAUUUAAGCAAGUGCAGCUUUUCUUGAUGCUGCAUGAUGAGUUGCAUCUGCCAAAAAUGUAAAUCCCAGCAGCUAUAAGGAAUCGGUAGCUAUCCAGAUGUUAGCUUAUGCCAUCCCUGGCCAUUGGUUGUGCUUGUUGGGACUUAUGGGAGUUGGGAGACCAACAAGUUAUGGAGGGCCUACAUGUUCCCCAUCCCUGUGUUAAAUGUGCAGGAGCUCAGCACGCUUUUGCAUUUGGUCACACUAAAGCAAAAGCAGUUCAUGAUCAGGGAAGAAAACAAAGAAACAAAAAAAGAUCCCAACAAACACCAGCCACAAUUGUUCCCAAUUAGGAUUUUUCUGUGAGACAACAGCACUUCUGUAAAAACCUUACCCUAUCUAUCAUACCGCAAUAGAACAACAUGCCUGCAUUCAAAUAAGAGUAAAACAUUGCAAGUCAAACAGCCAUUUCCCCUAAAUAUACUGCUUAUUCUAUUUUCAACUAAAGAGAAAUGAAGAGAUUAAAAUGCAAUGACUAAUUUGUUUAAGAACAAUUGUAAUUAAAUAUUCUAUCCUCCCUAGUUUUGGUAUAUCGGCAUGUACAGUAUACCUAAAAUACAAAGAAGCAAAUGUGGAAUUUUUGUUUUGUAAAGAACUGAAAGACUGUCAGGUUUCUCAAAUUUGUUAAUAUUCCUCUUGACCGACAAAUAAAAUAUUUUAUACAAAAAUUGUUUUAUUCUAGUAUUUUGUCUAUGUGGUCAGUAACUAGUCAUUAAGAAAUGAGUGCCUAUACCUAUACUAUAUUAUGCUUGUUUUAUUUUCUUUCUUUCUUUUAACAACCAAAGAAAUACUGCAUUCUGAGGUCCAUUUCAGAAAUCUAUGCUUUCUGACUUCAAUGUCUUUGCAGAUAAAGAGGAAGCUGUCUGCAAUCGCUUGAAUUUAUUCUAGUUAUAAAACUGGCAGUAACAACAGAAGAAAAUAUAUGAGCUUGUUUAACAUGAAUGGAUGGGAAUGUAUAGUAUUUUUUCAGACCAUGUGUUUAAAAGAAUAAAGUUAACAGAAUUA